rnacentral:rRNA from 1 species
CCUACGGGAGGCAGCAGUGGGGAAUAUUGGGCAAUGGGCGCAAGCCUGAUCCAGCGACGCCGCGUGAAUGAAGAAGGCUUUCGGUAUGUAAACUUCUAUUGUCAGGGACGAAGCAAGUGACGGUACCUGACGAAUAAGCCCCGGCUAACUACGUGCCAGCAGCCGCGGUAAUACGUAGGUGGCAAGCGUUAUCCGGAUUUACUGGGUGUAAAGGGCGGGUAGGCGGCGAUGCAAGUCAGAAGUGAAAAUCAUGGGCCCAACCCAUAGACUGCUUUGGAAACUGUAUUUCUGGAGUGCAGGAGAGGCAAGCGGAAUUCCGUGUGUAGCGGUGAAAUGCGUAGAUAUAAGGAGGAACACCAGUGGCGAAGGCGGAUUACUGGACAGUAACUGACGCUGAGGCGCGAAAGCGUGGGGAGCAAACAGGAUUAGAUACCCUUGUAGUC